AUACGUAGGUGACAAGCGUUAUCCGGAUUUACUGGGCGUAAAGGGCGUGUAGGCGGUCUUGCAAGUCAGAAGUGAAAUUCCUGAGCUCAACUCGGGCGCUGCUUCUGAAACUGCAGGACUUGAGUGCUGGAGGGGAUAGCGGAAUUCCUAGUGGAGCGGUAAAAUGCGCAGAUAUUAGGAAGAACACCGGUGGCGAAGGCGGCUAUCUGGACAGUAACUGACGCUGAGGCGCGAAAGCGUGGGGAGCAAACAGGAUUAGAUACCCUGGUAGUCCGCACAGUAAACGAUGUGCACCAGGUGGCGGGGGGUCGACCCUCGGUACCGGAGUUAACACAAUAAGUAUCCCACCUGGGGAGUACGGCCGCAAGGUUGAAACUCAAAUGAAUUGACGGGG
rnacentral:rRNA from 1 species